GGACGACGCUGGCGGCGUGCCUAACACAUGCAAGUCGAGCGGGAAUUUACAAAUUGAUUCCUUCGGGAUGAUUUUUGUAAAGGAUAGCGGCGGACGGGUGAGUAACGCGUGAGUAACCUGCCCUUAAGAGGGGGAUAACACACCGAAAGGUGUGCUAAUACCGCAUAACAUGUAUUUACCGCAUGGUAGAUAUAUCAAAGAUUUAUCGCUUAAGGAUGGACUCGCGUCUGAUUAGAUAGUUGGUGAGGUAACGGCUCACCAAGUCGACGAUCAGUAGCCGAACUGAGAGGUUGAUCGGCCACAUUGGGACUGAGACACGGCCCAGACUCCUACGGGAGGCAGCAGUGGGGAAUAUUGGGCAAUGGGCGAAAGCCUGACCCAGCAACGCCGCGUGAAGGAAGAAGGCCUUCGGGUUGUAAACUUCUUUUACCAGGGACGAACACAAUGACGGUACCUGGAGAAAAAGCAACGGCUAACUACGUG
rnacentral:rRNA from 1 species